ACCAGCAGCCCUGGACUCAGGAGAGAGACAAAGAGCCCUGCUGGCUCAGCUUGGUUUUUCCCAAAACAGAGUUGGGAGGUAAACCGCAGCUUCUGACCACGGGUUUAAACAUUUGGAAAGCUGGCUGAAGGAGCUUACGUGUAAACAGCAAGGGAUUAAUACCGUCUUGAAUGAGUUCUGUGAGAUUCUCACCACACAAAAUGAAGAAAUGGUUGUUCCCACCAAUAAGGAGAGCGGAUAAAGCCUCCACGUGAAUCACUCUUCCCUACAAUCCCAGCUUAAGGGGAUACAGGUGACAUCAAGAAAAAGCAUCAGCUGAAAAGACAAAAUUCUUGGCUCCAGAUUUUUAAAAAAAGUUCUGAACACUCUAUAUCUAAAAAAAAAAAAAA